ensembl:lncRNA
GCAGCAAGUGUCAGGAUUCGUGUCCUGACCCGUUACAAGCCUCAGUGUUACUGAGAUGAGAGAAAGCAAAGCUCCUGCAGACACAGAGGCGUACUUCAGCCUGGUCCAGGACCAAAUCUCCUCUUAGCAUUAAUAAUACAUCAGUGGCUUUGGCGGGGGCAUGGUGACAUCAGUGUGGUACAUCUCUUGGGGAAAGACAAUCCAUCAGCGUUGGGGUGUUACUUCUGCUGCCUUCGGACCGAUAACCCAGCUGGUGCUUCACGAGACGUGUCAAUGUGAGGCCGUGUGUGUGGCUGUGCAAAGAGGAAUGGCAUCUUGAAAAUCAUCUUGAUAAAUACCUGCCGUCGGAGGCUGAGCCCUCCGCUGACAUAAAUAAGGUGCUCCCGUGCCGGAGCGGAGCUGCAGCGAUGUGACCCAGAAUCCUGUUGCAGGGUUGGGAUCGUUCCCAGCACAGUCCUGUGCUUCAAUCUUCUGCGUGACAUCAGAUAAGUAAACACCAAGAUUUGAUGUGAGAACAUAUGUCCAUUGCAUAAUUCAUUAGCAUUCUUCUCUGGAAUUACUUUUAGAUAUAUGUACUUAGAUCAGAAUUAGUGGGUGAGGGUUAUUCUGGGGAAAAAAGAAGCUAUGGCAGCUUUCAGAAAUGGGUGCUUCUCCUGGGACUGAAGGCAAGUUUGGCCAUUCAUUGUGUUUGCUUCUUAAACGAUUAUUUUGGUCGUGUAGAUUCAUUUCCUGCAAUUUGGGUGUGAGGUGGUGGAAGAACAGUGGCACAGAAACCCUCAGCUUAGCACUGCUGCUAAGUGCACUGCUCAGAAAAUAUAAUUAUCAUCUCGACCAAUUUCAUAGCUGUGUAACUCCAUCGCCUUGAGUAUAGUCGUUCCUGAUUGCCAAACACAAGAAACAUUCAAAACUAUUUACCUUCUGUUUUGCAACGUACCCGCUCCAUGUUUGUACUGCUUAGCAGGCAAAGUCAAUUGUUAGCCUGCCCAGGCUGUGCAGAUGUACGGUAACAGCAAAUCAUCGCAGCGCUUACAGCUUGUUCUCUUGUGUCAGCAAGAAAAUUGGAAGCAUGUUCAGCUUCUGUGGGACGCCUGGGAUGUGCGUUGUUCUCUAACGAAGCCAUUGCAUGCACCCUUUUCCUUGCCUCAUUUCAUCUUGACAUGCAGUGCAGCCAAUGGCUCUGGGGGUUGUUUUGCUGUAGGAAUGUUUGGGGGGAAAAAAAAACCAAACCCAUCCCAAAACAGUACUGUACAGUAUGAGUCACUGAGGAGAAAUGGGAGGAGGAGUUAUUUUGAGGGCUUUUAUAUCUUCCUUAUUGCUAGGAGACUGCUUCCCCUGAGUGCAGCGCUCUCCGGGCUCCCAACAGCUGCCUUGUUUGCACUGAGGGCAAUUCACAGAGCAGCUUCGUAGUAGAGGAGAAACAAACCUGGAUGGAGCUCAUUGUCACUUCUCAUGCUUCUGAGACAAAUGCAGGAGUAAAUGGGAGACAGCUGCUAGUGCCAAGGACAGCAUUGUGCCCAAAAUGUCGGGGCUCUGGGGCUGAUCUCAGAGCUCUGCUCAGGUGCCAGGACAGCCACAGGCUGUUCUCUGCAAAGAGCCGUUCCAGGCCUGGGAUUCAGAGCAUGAGGAUGUGCUUUGCCCAUAGCUUUGCUGUUGCAAAAGCAAUA